CAAUUAAAGAUUGUAUUAUUCUUCAGGUUGGUUUGGUUUAUGGUUUCUUUUUGUGGCUCAAAGAACUUACAUUGUUUUUAUCUGCUUUCGUAACUUGAAGUUGUUCCCUUUUGGUUCUCCUUGCAGAUUACGUAAGAAAUGUUGUUCUUUAUUGAGGAUCCACAUGCGGCAAGUGCUGUGGAUUUAAUGUCGAUAUUUGCUUAGUGGUUCUGGUGAGCUAGUAAUGUCGCAAAUGUAAACUACAAUGUAGAAUUCAGUUUAUUGAGGCAUCUUUAACCAAUGAACACCACUGAAGCACCUUCUACCAUGCUCUUCACUUUGCUUCCCUGCAUGUUAUGAGUGGAAGAAAUAUUUUCAAACAUACUAAUAUUGGCUCCACACCGUAGGAGUUUCCCUAAUAGAGAAGUUUAACGAUUGGAAUGUUUCUGCAGUUAACUUUACAUAAUGAACCAAAAAAUGUUUCGUAGGAACAAGGAGUACAGAAGCUAUUUAUCUAGAUUGUGGCGUUGAUACCUCCAAGAUCUGGUGUUUGUUUAUGAUUCCGUGGUUCUGUUUGAUGCAAGUGAAGUUGUAUCCAAUUGUUAUCAUAUAUGUACUAAAAAAUUGGUUGUCACUUGUCAUGCAACCAUAUCUGCUGUCUUGGUCUUUGUGCAGUCUCAUGUGCAUGCCCAUGCAGAACUGAUGUAGCUAGUAAGUACUGUUAAAUUAAUUGGCUGGCUGAAUAGAAUGAUUCAAUUCAAAGAGAACUCUGGCGGGGCAGUGCGUUAUUUGCUGUAUGGAAGCUCCAUUCUUUUCAAAGAGAAGUCUGGCAAGGCAGUGCGCUAUUCUCUAGCCAUCCCCAGAAGUACUUCAUCCAGCAAAGUAACGCAACAAGAAGAAAGAGGCGGUCUAGUCUAUUGGCGUGGUUCCAGAUAUGUGAUACCCCAGAAGUUCCCGGAAAAAAACCAUUUUAUAUAGAAUCUGAGAUGGGUGAACCAGACAAUGCAAAAUCAUUACCUUUUUUUGAAUCUCUCCCUCGACCAUGGUUGUGAACCUAAGGAAACCACUUGCAAUGAUACCUCAUCCCCAGUAGAAGCCAUAGUAGAAGAUACUGUAGUAUGUAACAAUUUCGCUCCCAAUAGUCUUCCCAGCAUAUUACCACUUCAAUUCCCGUUUUUGCAACCUAACACUGAAGUGGAGAACUGUGGCAGGGAGAAUACUAUUUUAAUCAUCAGGUCUUAAAGCCAACAACAGCUAUCCUUGGCAUAGACCGUGUGAAUGUUGACGAAUUUGCUGCCGGAUCUUGUACCUGUUCAUGCAGAUCAGAAACAACACAUGUAGCUCACCCGUGAGCUGGCUGAGCAAGUAAAUUAUCUAUAUGGAGGAAAGAAAUGGAAGAAAAUGAGAGGACGGGUAUUCAAUUUUUAAGUCGGAUUCUGUAUACUUGAUACUCGGUUGAUGGUCUUCAAUUGAGCGCGUGGAGUAUCAUUCUUUUACUGGAGCGAGUCUUACUUUGAUCAAUCUUAGUAUAGGUUCCUGAACCCCUUAUUCCACCAGCAGGAGCGCUUGAAGUAUUGUCUCUUACAGAUGGUCUUUCAAAGAUGUCCAACUCAGAUCCUUCUGAUCAGUCCCGAAGGAAUCUUCUCGACCCUAAAGAUGUAAGUAUGCACUUCUAUGCUUUUUAUGUCCAUCUGUUUUAACUUCAGAUGCGCUUGUGAUUUAUGAACCCACAGUUCACAGCUCCUACAUAUAAUGUAUUUGUGGGGGAUGUUGGAUAAAAAACACGGUUAAACACGGCUUCUGUUUGAUUCACUCUACCUACUACCUGUUCUUUUAUAAAAAAAACAAGAUAAAACACUG